GGGUUUUGGUCCCCCUACUGGGGGGUUUGAAUCCYUCCGUUCCCAGA
rnacentral:tRNA from 1 species